UGGGGAAUAUUGCACAAUGGGCGAAAGCCUGAUGCAGCGACGCCGCGUGAGGGAUGACGGCCUUCGGGUUGUAAACCUCUUUCAGCAGGGAAGAAGCGAAAGUGACGGUACCUGCAGAGGAAGCGCCGGCUAACUACGUGCCAGCAGCCGCGGUAAUACGUAGGGCGCAAGCGUUGUCCGGAAUUAUUGGGCGUAAAGAGCUCGUAGGCGGUUAGUCGCGUCUGCUGUGAAAACUCGAGGCUCAACCUCGGGCUUGCAGUGGGUACGGGCUGACUAGAGUGCGGUAGGGGUGACUGGAAUUCCUGGUGUAGCGGUGGAAUGCGCAGAUAUCAGGAGGAACACCGAUGGCGAAGGCAGGUCACUGGGCCGCAACUGACGCUGAGGAGCGAAAGCAUGGGGAGCGAACAGGAUUAGAUACCCUGGUAGUCCAUGCCGUAAACGUUGGGCACUAGGUGUGGGGUCCAUUCCACGGAUUCCGUGCCGCAGCAAACGCAUUAAGUGCCCCGCCUGGGGAGUACGGCCGCAAGGCUAAAACUCAAAUGAAUUGACGGGGUCAUAGCUGUUUCCU
rnacentral:rRNA from 1 species